rnacentral:lncRNA from 10 species
CUCCAUGUGAUUUGUCCUUGCUGAUGAAGCAGUAACAUAUACAGCAUUGCUCUAGUGUCUGCAUUCUGUGGAACGGAGGGCUUUUGAGCCUCACAAGACUUUGAGAUUUUAUGGAUAUGAAACCUGCUAUCAUUUAGCAUCCUGCCUCUGGGAAUAGACAUGGAUUCUCACUAUGACACCCAGGCUGGAGUGCAGUGGCACAAUCAUAGCUGACUACAGCCUCGAAUUUCUGGGCUCAAGCAAGGCUUUCAUCUCAACCUCCCCAGGAGCUGGGAUUACAGAUGGUGUCAGAAGCGGGGUUCAAAGUAGAGCUUUAAUGACCCCCAGAAGUGCUGAGUGAACAAGCAAGGUACCUGCAAGGACCCACUUGUGUCCUUUGAUCUCUCAGAGCAGUGGCACCUAAUUAAAAAAAUUAUAUGUGUAAGAGAAGAAGAUGAUGAAGAAACAGCAGCAGCAUUUU